AGUGCUCCCCGAAGGACACCAGCCCAAUGGAGAUGGUCUGCAGGAAUGGCCGGAUGGCAGGCGUGAACUGUGGAGAGACGCGGCUGCGUCACCCACCGCUCAAGAGAGGGAUGGGGACAGGGCAGGAGCGAGGCACAGGGAUGUGCGGGGAAGACACAUUCAUUCAGUAAACGUUUCAUGAGCUCCUACUGUGUGCUGGGCAUAGCUCUCGGCUGGUUCACGGACCUGAUGUUCUCAAAGGGAAAACAAAUGAUCAGCAGAUAAGCAAAGCCACGCGCAGUAUCAUGACAAGGAAUGACGAAUGGUUUGGAAAAAAAAAAAGGCAGUAGGUGGAGAGGGCACCAGUGAUGACUAGGGGUCAGGCUACUUAGCGGGUCUCGGAGGAGAGAUCUGACUGAAGCGAGGGGAGGGUGUUCCCUGCACAGGGAACAGAGAGCAUGAAGGCUUAAAGGUGAGCUCAUAGGAGGCUGAGGCAGGAGAAUC
rnacentral:lncRNA from 1 species